GAUGAACGCUGGCGGCGUGGAUUAGGCAUGCAAGUCGAGCGAGGACCGUAGCAAUACGGGGACAGCGGCGAAAGGGACAGUAAUGUGUAGGUACCUACCUCCGGGUUCGGGAUAGCUGCGGGAGACUGCAGGUAAUACCGAAUAACGUCUCCGGACCAAAGGUGUGAUUCCACCUGGAGAGGGGCCUGCAUCCUAUUAGCUUGUUGGGGGGGUAACGGCCCACCAAGGCGACGAUGGGUAGCGGGUGUGAGAGCACGACCCGCGUCAUUGGGACUGAGACACUGCCCAGACACCUACGGGUGGCUGCGGUCGAGGAUCUUCGGCAAUGGGCGCAAGCCUGACCGAGCGACGCCGCGUGCGGGAUGAAGGCCUUCGGGUUGUAAACCGCUGUCGUAGAGGAGGAAAUGCAGGGGGGUUCUCCCCUCUGUUUGACCUAUUCUAGGAGGAAGUACGGGCUAAGUUCGUGCCAGCAGCCGCGGUAA
rnacentral:rRNA from 1 species